CACUGCUGUUCCCUUUCCUGCUCCGCCCUCACCUUUUCUUUUUCCAAUUCUUGCUCAAGCCUAAAUUGUUCAGUUUCUUGUUAAAGCCUAAAUUUUUCUUGUUCAGUUCUAUUUUUCUCAAACUCUAAUUUCAAGUUAUAUUUUUGUACUAAUUUCCACUUUUCAAAAUCCCCUGAGAACUUUGGAACCUCUACUUCAGGUGGGGUUUUAGUCAUCUCUUCUGUUCUCGUUUCCUCCCCCUGGGGAUUCCCAUUCUCUUCUCCAGAGCUUUCGUAUGGGUUUUCCCUCACUGGGUGCUUGGUCUUCUAGGGUGGCAUUAUGGGUGGGGUUUCCGUUUACUUGAACUGAACUGAGGCUAGUUUGAUAGCUGAAGUACAGCUGCAGUACCUGUGUAGCCCUUGUCAGGGAGCACUGCUCUGUAACUCCAAUUGGAUGGGAUUUCAGUAGCUGUCAACAUAAGAUGACUUGAUUGGCUCUAAGCGUUAACCACAAGCAGGGUGCUACAUAAGAACAAGCAUGAAGGAAGUUUCCCAGCACACUCACAGGUCCUUAUAAUAUCAGUGGAAACAGUGGUCCAUGCAAGUAUUAACCUCUUUCAAUUUAAGCUGAGGACUGCCAUUUGCUUAAUUUUAAUUAUAACUUAUUUUAAUUAAUUUUGGGAUGCAUUUUAAUCAAUUGACUU